CCUCAGGGCGGCUGUGGAUGUUGCCAGUAUUGUCGAUGCUUCAGAGCUACGUUUGCCCCGCGACACGGGCGGGCCGGCUCUCCUCGGUCUUUAUUUUCCUGGAGGCCGAUGGGAGCGAGGCCCGAGUUCGGCAGUGGUCGUGAGCGUGGGGGGCAGUCAGGCCCGGACGUGCUCGCAGGUCGCCGACGGCGGCAGCUGAAGGCCGCGCUGGCUGUCCCAGGUCGUCCUUAGCUUUAGGGAGCGGAGCUCUGGGCGGCCCCGCAGAGGACGCCCGCGAUUCGACGGCGAUGGUGCCCGUUUUAAAUGGUGUCCCUGCAGCCGGGUGGAUGGAUGGAUCGUACUCUUCUCCUUUUGAGGCCGGGACCUUACGCCCUCUGCGUGUUAUUUCUGCUGAGUAAGAACGCAGCCCUUGGAAGUGAAGACGACUCUCGACUGGACUGAAUUGGAAUGGUGUUUGUGAUGCGUUUAUUUCUGGAAAUAUGCGGUCUCCGCUGCUCUUGUUUUUUGUUGGCAGAGGUGGUUCUUCUCUAACCGUCGGGAUAAAGGCCUGUAGGCGACGCUGCGCUAGCGCUAAGCUGUGCUGCGACGGCCCCGGCGCCCCCCUCUAGGUGUGGGUGGAGCCGAGCACGCGGGGAGAACCGCCGGCCCCUACUCGGCCACCGGCGACUGCGGGCGACCGGCGGGCCUGCGGCCAGCUGAUUUCAAACAUCGUUUUCCUCUUUAGGUUUGGAACACUGAGGCGCUGGACAAGGCUGGAAUACAAAAUGUGAUUAUACGUGCAGUACCAUGCUUGUUGUAGUUUUUAAAUUGUAAAACAAGAAGUAACUCCGUCGUUCCACAGUUCUCUAUUAAAUUUGUGUAAAUUAAAAGGGGGCUAUUCUUCAGGUUAAAAAAGUGCAGUAGGUAAGCGGAUUUUUACUCAACCGGGACGAAAUUCAUGUUGUAUGAAUUGUAUUAUUUGUGUGUGUACCAGUGGGCUAAAAGUGAUUAGGAAAACUUGCUUAGAUCAUUCCUUUUGCCUCAGGCCACUGAGGGGGCCAAGAUCCCGUCACUCCUUUGCUCUAGGCCUUGCGACGGCUUCCCGUCUUGAGGGGUGUGAGUGAAAGCCUUGACGGAAGUCCCCGCGCGCCGUGGGGGGUGGGGGCGGGCCUGCCCUGGCAUCCUUGCGAGUAGGACUGUGUCCUCGCCGUUCCCUCUGCCAGGUUCUUCCUUGAGCGCCCGUAGGGCUUGCUUCUUCACCUUCAGGGUUUUGCUCAAGUGUCACUCUGUGCUUCUGCGGCCACUUUUAAACUGCAGGUUCCCUAGCCCCCUUCUCAUUUUAUCCUUUGAACAAUCUACAUAUUCGUAUAUGUUUAUGUUCUUCUCUCUCCUUCCGUAGUGGAAUGUAAGCUCUAAGAGGACAAGAGGUUGUGUUUUUCUGCACUGGUGGUGUGCCCAGCUCCUGGAAUGCCACACAAUAGAUGCAUGGUAUUCGGUUAAUGAAUGAAUGACGAUUAUAAGGGCCUUGACGAUCCCCAUUUCUGUCUUUGAUAUGUACUUACAUAUAUUUACAUGCUGCAGAGAGCUUUAUAAAAGAUUUAAAGUUUAUAAGAGAAUUCUAUAAAAAGAGAUUGCUUCUAAACUUUGGAAAGCCCUCCGCAACACCAGAAACCCACAAACAAGGAAUAAAAUUUGUUUUUAGGCUUCUGUAAAUGGGAAUGCCCGAGGACAGUGCAUAAAAAAUGAUCAUAUCCAUACUGGGCCGAUUGGCUUUGCUCUCCUGAGUCUCAAACUGCAUUCUUCAUCUUGUCCUCUGUCUUGCAAAAUAGAUUAAAAGUGUGAGAAUUUAUUUGGUUGGCUCAGCCCAAAUCCAGCACUAUUGGAAAAGUUCAUUCAGCAAAUAUUUAUUGGGCACAAGUGGGUACCAGGCACAGUGAUUCAAAAGGUGUGUGUUUCUGAGGCUAGGACUUCAUAUAGGACCUUACAUAAAGGACCACAUAGGGCUACUUUGGUUGCUACUCAAUUAUGCUGUCAAGCAAAGCAAAUACUAGUGAGAUUUAUUUUUAGUUUUCUUCUGAAGAAAAGGUUCAGUGAAAGCUGAGGUCAGGCUUAGUGUGGAUAUUUUAAUUCAUCAUUUAGUUUGCUGUUUGCUUAUGCUUAGGGUAGCACUAGAUUUACUUAAUCAUGAUUUUUGAGUACUAUAAAACAAACGUGGGAAACUGUAUUUCCUAGUUGCCGGAAAAGUAGGCUUUUUAAAUUAAAAUAAGUAAACAUAUCAGUAAGCUAGAAGCUAUGCAGUAAGGCUUUGGCUGUGGUAUUCCGAAGUUUCAUAUUUCGUGUAUUGAAUUUUUGGACAAGAAAAGACAGCCUUGAUAGGUAUUUCAUAACCAUUAAUACAAUUAAUGAAAUAUUGUUUCGUAAAUCCAAUAUUAUUUUUCCUAUUAAUCUUCAGAACAGCUUUAAUACAGAUGGCUCAGAAUGUGUUUUUCACUGUUUCAAAAUACCAGUAUUUUAAUUUGCUAACAGAAGCACAAUUAUUUUCUUGUCUGCUUUCUUAAAUGUUACUGGUAAACUAGUAAUUUUAGAUGUCCAGGUAACUGCAGCUGCUACAGUCAGCCUACUGUGGAAAGUUUUGGCAUUAUUGUGUUAUUUAAUUUAAAUUUUUUGUUUCUUCCCCUUAUUGAGUACUUAUUAGUUGCUAAUUAGCUUUAUGCUAGGCACCUCAUACAUGGUAGUGAAUGAAAACACAAUACUACUUCAUUGAGGGUUUUAACUUGUAUAUAGUUUAUACCACUUUUUUUUUCCAGAUUAUAGAAUUAAAUAAAUUUCCAUGAAUAUCACAGCAUUUCUCUAUUAAAUAGUAUUUUACUUGUGUAAAUUUAAGUAUCCAAAUUAAGUUCUUACUUAGAAUCUGUUAAUCUUAGUGUUUUCUUUAUUUCAUUGCCUUGGUGUUUUGGGUUUUGUUUUUUUUUUUUUUUUUUGCUUAAUAUUUUUCCCAAUACCAUCCAUUCGUUUUGCUCUUAUAUUUUUAAGUCUUUUAUGUUCCAAAUCAGGUGACUUACGUGCUUGACUUGUCCAUUUUAGUUUGGAGGAUAGCUCAAUAAAUCUUUAUUCUGACUUUAAUUGCCUCCUUGCUUUAAUAACUGAGUUGCAUGACUCAGUUUUCUUUGCUAGGAAUAUACCUGGAUAGUCUUAUCUGUAUUCUAGAUCAAUGAAUUGCAGAAGAUUUUAUUAAAAAUUUUAAAUGGAUUUCAGGUAUAAACUAUCUGUAUCAAAUGUCAUCACCAGGAAUUUCUACAUCUGAAAAAUUAUGAAUUGUUAUUUUUAUUGAAGAAUAUUUAUCUUUAAGAUAAAUGUAAUUUGCUAUAAAAUGAUAGUAGUGAAAAAUUUUAGAAAAUCAUUUUCUUCUCACUAUUUUAUGCCUGCCGAUUAUUGUUUGUUAGUGAUAAAUUGUCUCUUAUGGGAACAAAUUUGUUAAAGUUAGAAAAAAAACUGGUAGUAUAUGUAUGUUUUAUAGAUUAGACUCUACCAGAAUUAUUUCACAUUUAGAAUAAUUAAAUUGCUUUUAGGUUGAUGGAUGACGUAAGAAAAUGAUGAAGAGUUAAUUAAAGAUAUUGAUUUUUAAGGCAGAGCUACAAAAUUAUCAAAUGACUUAGCACUGUAAAUAUGUUCCUGUUUCAGGUUUUCAAAGUAAAUACCCUAAUCAAAUUUGGAAAUAGUAUUUAUGGAGUUUAUUCAAGAUAGAUUAUCCAUUUUGUUAAAAUUAUAGAAACGAAUAGUUCUUUUCCUAUGGAUGUCUUUUUUCAUCUUGGCCUAUUCUGGUCCUUUAAGAGCAAGCUUUGUCCUUUCAUUAAUACUUCUCGCCUAUAACUGUGAAUUUUCUCUAAACUUGUAGAUUUUAUUAUGCACACCAUCUAUUUAUAAUCCUAUGGCACUCCAAUAUUAUGUUUUUUUGUAUCUAUGCCUUAUGUUCCUAAAUCAAAGUGACCAGUUCCAUGUUAUACUAAAAGUUUCACUUUGUAAUGCAUAUGGAAUUACACAUAGGGAAGGGCCUCAAAAAAUACACUUCUGAAAUAUUUCUAUGUAAAAUUAUUUAAGAUCAUAAAGUUUCAUGAAAGCCUAAUCUUCCUGGAACCUACACAUAUUCUGGAUGUGAACCAGAGUUAAGCUAUUCAAGUAUUUUAAUACUGAACUAAUCUGGAAAAACAUCAGUUAAAAAAUGACUGUAUUUAUGAAGGAAGAAUACAAAAUCUAUUAAAAAUUUAAAACAUUUAAAAUAGGUAUGAAGGGAGGCUUAUGGUGCUCAUUUUAACAGCUCUCUUAAGUAGGUUAGCUUGUAGUCAAAGCAUCUGCUCCAAACCAGUGUUUUAAACUGUGGAUUAUAGUACCACUAUGGUUAUGAAAUUAAUUUAUUGUGUUAUGACUAGUAUUUUUUAUUUAAAACAUAGAAUAGGAAAUAGAAGAGUACAUCACAGAUGGUAAAGGUAUAUGUUUUUAAGUAAAGAUUUUUUCAUGUGUAUGUGCUGGGUUACUUUGUAAAAUAUAUUCCUUACAGUGGGUUACAGGCCAAAAAAAGUGUUUGCUUUUAUUUUUAAAAAUCUACAGUUCAUAUUUUCCUUAGAAAAUGGGGAAAAAAAAGGAAUGUUAGAAAGAUGUGACUGCCCAUGAACUGCUGAAGGAUUUUAGAGGAACACCAGGGUAUUUUAGAGAUCUGAUACUGGUUUCAGAAAGGUAAUGUUAAGACAAAGAGUAGGAAAUAAAGUAUGUUGUUAGUAGAAAUGUGAAAUAUGGUUAAAGUUGUGAAGAGGAAUUAUUUUUCUAGUGGACCUACAUUUGUUGUGUUUAGAUCUGUGACUAUUAUUGAUCUGUUAUAGCACAUUUUCCAAUCUAAAAUGUCCAAUACAGCACAAUAAUAAACAUGGGGCAAAAUACAUGUUUGUUUCUAUUUCUUCCCACCUUCCCUUCAAUCUUAAAACAAAUUUUUACUAGUAAGUCAGAGCAAAGCAGUUUCUAUCUUUCACAGAGUAAUUAUCUUAGGAACAGCUUAUUCCCUGAAAAUGAUGACAACUCUUUUCUCUCUCUGAAAAAUAAACCUUCAAUAAGAUUUUUCUCUCUAGCCACAGUAAAUAAGAAUUUAUUAAGUAGGUAACUCUCAUUCACCAUCCAACUCAUUCUAUAUAUUUGAAUAAAUGUACUUAUAAUUGUGUACAGGAUUUAAAAGAGGGAAACUUAGGAAGGAAGAAAGGAAUUGUGUAUAAGAAUUUAAAAGGGAGGCAUUAUAUUGUUUAAAUAGAAUGAAAAGUAUCUAACCAGAAAGCAAAUAAGGUAAGGAUUCUACUAUACUGAAAUAUUUUAAUAAAAUUUAAAUAUUGCUCUUUCACUUUAUUUGCUAUGUGUACAUUUCAGUAUUAUAAUGUUGGCGAGUCUAUUUAAGAGCACAUUAGUAAAGAUUUCCUUUUUCAGGCAUGUGAUACCAAGUCCCUUUCCAUUAUAGAUAAGUAAGGCCUAGGUUGGUUAAAACCUUAGCUAAACACAAAAUUUGCUAGAGAAUCAACAUGUUAAGAAGCUCUAACUCUAAGCUUAUUCACCCCAAAUAUUUCACCAAUGUAAUACACACCCUGUUGAACUAAGGAAGGAAUUGUAUUACUAACCAGCAGAGGGAGCCAAGUCAAUCAUGAAAGGUAGGAGUAUAAAGGAACAUCAUAUGACUUCCUGUUUCGAAUUUAACUGUGUGGCCUCUGUUCGCUUUUUGAGUUUACGAAAAAGACAAUCAUAAGGAGAGAAAGGCUACCAAUGUAUAUCAAAUAACGAUAGGGUGACAAUCAUAACUCAAGAUUACCUUGCAAAAAAAAAUUGUAAGAAAAAUUGAACAUAGAAAUAUAAAAGUGAAAUGUCUCGGUAUUGUAAUUUAAGAUGGAAAAACCAUGGAAAACAGUACCUUAGAGCCAUGAUGAAUUGCUAUCCAAAUGUAACAGUGAAUAUUUCUUAGUAAUUCCAUUUUGAUUUAAAGUUGAAAUUAGGCUAUAAAUUGAUACAUUUUAAGAUUAUAAAGUUGGUAGAAAUAAGUAGAUUGUACAUCAAAUUUAUAUGCAUUUAAUCUAAGAAGGGAUAAAAUUUAAUAAAAAAUGAUUACAGUGAAGUAAUAAGGAUGUGAUUUUUCAGCUUAAAAUUAGAGAAUAGGAUUUUUCCACUACCGUUUAUAAACACAACAAAUAAAGUAAUAUAUGUUUUGUGAGAGAUGUUUGGAGGAAUGUAGUAGCUAAGUAAUUACUGUCAGCUUAUUUAAUUUUGUCUAAGAACUUCAAAAUGCCUGAUAGAAUGGGUGCAUAUUGAAUGAACAGAUGUGAUCUAUUUAUUAUUUAGAGUAAAACUAUAAAAGCUGAGCAUUAGGUAACUGCAUCAAAAUGAAGAAUGUAAAGACUCAAACAUUUUUAGUUAAAUAACCAAAUGAAUUAGCUAGUCUAGCCCCUUAAUUGUUGCAAGGUUUGUGGAAACAUACCAUAUAUACUUUUACUCAUGUGUUUAUUCUUUCCAAAAAUAUACUUCUUAAGCACUUACUAUCUCCAAAGGACAUGGAGCAUAUCUUCAUUGUGAAGUAGACAAACUUCUUAAAUUUUAUUGAAAGAUUUAAUUUCCCUGAUAUGUGAACAAUCAUACAAAUUCAAUAUGCAACUAGUGAUUUCAAGAAAGUGAUACUUAGAAGGAAAUCACUUAUGGGACUAGACUGCCUUUGUAGGAUUAACAAAUUAGGCACAAGAUUAGAAAUUAAGAGUUAUGCAGCUGGAGGCUACGAGAUUCUGACCCUAAACUGCUCCUAAGAUCAGUGCUUGAGAUAUUCUACACACCCUGCACUUGAUGGAUCAGUGCUGGCACCACCGAGAUCAAUAAGCUGGUUCAUCAGAUCUUGUAGCCCCCGCCCAGGAACUGAUUCAGAGCAAGAGGACAGCUUCAAUUCCCUAUGAUUUCAUCUGCGACCCAACCGAUCAGCACUCUCGUUUCACUUGCCUUCCCUAAAAACUGAUCCCCAAAUGCUCGAGGAGACUGAUUUGAGUUAUAAUAAAACUCCGGUGUCCAGCCAAAAAAAAAAAAAAAAAAAAACAAAUUAUUCAAUUUUGAGUACUAGAAAGUAGACGGUAAACUUCUUUUAUAAUGCUAUAUUAUACUGGCAUUAUUUUAUAUAUUGGCAUCUGGUGUUGUCAGUUAAUCACAGCAAUGAUAUCCAACAUGUACAACUCAACAGUCCUAGAGAUAGUUUAAUACCAAAAAAAGAAAAACCUCAAUGUAACCAGUAUUACUGCUUGUAAUUGUUUGUUUCCUUUACACAGGAGUUGUGAUGAAUAUGGGCUAUUUGAAUUGCAUAAACAGCCUAACCUUUUAAAUGUUUCCACUCAUGAAAAAUAGCUAUUAUGAACUUUUAAAAAUUAAUAAAGUGGCAAUAGGUUUACCAUGAGCUAUUCCUUAUUGAUAAGCAUAAUAGUGGGUUAACUAAUGUCAAAGUCCAAUAAAAACUAUUUACUAUGUCACCAAAGUCAACAUUUCGGAAUCUAAGAUGUAGUGUAGUUAUUUCCGUUUUAUCUAGUUUUCAUUUAAUAAUCUCAGAUUCUGACUAACAACUCAAAAACCAAAGUCUGGUGAGAAAAUAACUUGAAUCUUAUUCCAAAGUUAGGAAUGGUGACAGAUAAGGAAAAGCAUCAAAAAAGUGACUUCAGUAAAGAAGUUCUCUUUUCCUAAAAAAUUAAAUAUAAAAGUUUAGUCAGGAAUUUGUACCCACACGUGAAUACUACUUUUAAUAUUUUUCUUUAGACAUUUGAAAUAUUUUAUUUUCUCCUUUAAAAAAAGCACCAAAACCCAAAUUUAUUUAAUAUUGUGUUUCUGAUUUAUCAGCUUCUUUCCAUCUUACACUGUCAAAUUCUGUACUGCUUCUAAAGCACCUACAAUUAUCUCUACAAAAACUGUACAAUUAACACUCAGCAUUGCCUUCUUCCUAAUUCUAACAUCACCAUUCAUCAGCUUUCUCCAAUAGAGUCAGAUGAUUACUUACAAUCAUAUCUAGGCAAAUGAUGUAACUUUUGCUUGAUGUAUGGGAAAAUAGCUUACAUUAUGAAUUUAGAAGAGCUAUAGUAGUACCUGACAAUACUUUAUAGAUGGAAAAGUAUUUUUAAUUUAAAGAAUAUAUUGGACAUCUUUCAGAAUUUCUGUAAAAAUUUUUGACUGUCCAUUUUGGCUAGAAGCUUAGAAAUGAUCAUGCUUAAUUUUGUGUUUACAUUAAAUCUUUUGGAUUUUAAUUCUGUAUACAAUAUUGCUAUAAAACAUCAUAGUUGUGGAAUCUGGCUCUUUAAGAAAUGCUCACAAGAAAACAGGUUUGAAAACUAUUCUGACUACAAUGUAGCUAUUAUAUUCACUGAUAAGAGUUUAGUAUGCCUCUGAAUAUAAGUAAAUCUCUAAUUCCCUACAUUUUUUGGAAUAUUAGUAUUCUAAGAGUAUCAGAAUAUGAGCUUAACAAAAUGUUGAAUUUGCAUAUCCAAGUUGACAGAUAAUAUUCUUAGGUGGGACGUGGCGGCUCAUGCCUAUAAUUUUAGCACUUUGGGAGGUCAAAGUGGGCAGAUCACUUGACGUCACAAGUUUGAGACCAGCUUGGGCAACAAGGUGAAACCCCAUCUCUACUAAAAAUAUAAAAAUUAGCCAGGUGUGGUGGUGCACACCUGUAAUCCCAGCUACUCGGGAGGCUGAGGAACAAGAAUUGCUUGAACUCAGGAGGCAGAUAUUACCCCACAUUCAACAAGUAAAUAUUAAAGAGCUUUACAUACAGGAUAAUAUGACAAAAUUUGCAUUUUAGAAUAACUACAAUUAACAAUAAAAGGAAGUACCUGUAAUAUUACCCCACAAAAGGAACAAUACUUAACGUGUGGUGAACUUGGAAAUUUCAUACAAUUUAGAAAUAUGUAUUGAGCUGUAAAAAUGUUCAUAUUCAUGACAUGAUACUUUCACAUCUGGACUCUUGAGGUGCCUAUAUAUUGCUUUUGUAAUUUCAAUUAAAACAGAAGCAUCGCUUCUCGGCCUUUUGGCUAAGAUCAAGUGUAGUAUCUGUUCUUAUCAGUUUAAUAUCUGAUACGUCCUCUAUCCGAGGACAAGAUAUUAAAUGGAUUUUUGGAGCAGGGAGUUGAAAUAGGAGCUUGCUCCGUCCACUCCACGCAUCGACCUGAAAUCGGAAGAACGGCG